rnacentral:rRNA from 1 species
CCUACGGGAGGCAGCAGUGGGGAAUAUUGCACAAUGGGGGAAACCCUGAUGCAGCGACGCCGCGUGAGUGAAGAAGGAUUUCGGUAUGUAAAGCUCUAUCAGCAGGGAAGAAAAUGACGGUACCUGAGGAAGAAGCCCCGGCUAACGACGUGCCAGCAGCCGCGGUAAUACGUAGGGGGCAAGCGUUAUCCGGAUUUACUGGGUGUAAAGGGAGCGGAGACGGCAGCACAAGUCUGGAGUUAAAUGCCGGGGCUUAACCCCGGAACUGCUUUGGAAACUGUGCAGCUCGAGUGCAGGCGAGGUACGUGUACUUCCUCGUGUCGCGGUGUACUGCGUCUCUCUUCGGAGUAACCCCAGUGGCG